rnacentral:rRNA from 1 species
GGAGUCGAGAAUGAAUGGGUUUUCGGGGGUUAGCUGUCUCUUUAAGAUUGAGUCGAAAUUUCUAAAAAGGUGCAAAAUCCUUUAAUCUGAAAAAAGACGAGAAGACCCUUAGAGUUUUUACUAUAAAAAGAUUAAAUUCUUUUAUUGGUUUUUGCUGGGGCGGCAAAGAGACAAUAAACUCUCUUUUUGUAGUUUUUAGAAGACGUGAAUUUAAAGAAACAAUAAACUACCUUAGGGAUAACAGCAUAAUUAAAUUUUAGUUUGUGACCUCGAUGUUGGACUAGGAAAAAUUCUUGGUUAGCCGCCAA